rnacentral:rRNA from 1 species
AAUCAACGCUGGCGGCGUGCCUAACACAUGCAAGUCGAACGAGAAAGAGGGGGCAACUCCUCGAGUAAAGUGGCGACCGGGUGAGUAACACGUGACUAACCUACCCUUGAGUGGGGAAUAACCUUCCGAAAGGAGGGCUAAUACCGCAUAACAUCGCGAGGCGAGAUUCCUUGUGAUCAAAGGAGCAAUUCGCUUAAGGAGGGGGUCGCGGCUGAUUAGCUAGUUGGUGAGGUAACGGCUCACCAAGGCGAUGAUCAGUAUCCGGCCUGAGAGGGCGCACGGACAAACUGGAACUGAAACACGGACCAGACGCCUACGGGAGGCAGCAGGGGGGAAUGUUGCGCAAUGGGGGAAACCCUGACGCAGCAACGCCGCGUGGAGGAUGAAGGUCUUUGGAUUGUAAACUCCUUUCGAUCGGGACGAUUAUGACGGUACCGGAAGAAGAAGCACCGGCUAACUCUGUGCCAGCAGCCGCCGUAACAC